GACAGAGGAUGCAAGCGUUAUCCGGAUUAAUUGGGCGUAAAGCGUCUGUAGGUGGUUUAUCAAGUCUUUUGUCAAAGAUCAGGGCCUAACCCUGGGCAGGCAGAAGAAACUAAUAGACUUGAGUUCGGUAGGGGCAGAGGGAAUUCCCGGUGGAGCGGUGAAAUGCGUAGAGAUCGGGAGGAACACCAAAGGCGAAGGCACUCUGCUGGGCCGUAACUGACACUGAGAGACGAAAGCGAGGGUAGCAAAUGGGAUUAGAUACCCCAGUAGUCCUCGCCGUAAACGAUGGAUACUAGGUGUUGGAUGGGUUCAAAUCAUUCAGUACCGUAGCUAACGCGUGAAGUAUCCCGCCUGGGGAGUAUGCUCGCAAGAGUGAA
rnacentral:rRNA from 1 species